rnacentral:rRNA from 1 species
UACGGAGGAUGCGAGCGUUAUCCGGAUUUAUUGGGUUUAAAGGGUGCGUAGGCGGGAGAUUAAGUCGGUGGUGAAAUUUUGCAGCUCAACUGUAAAAGUGCCAUUGAUACUGGUUUCCUUGAGUGUGGAUGAAGUAGGCGGAAUUUGUGGUGUAGCGGUGAAAUGCAUAGAUAUCACGAGGAACUCCGAUUGCGCAGGCAGCUUACUAAACCAUAACUGACGCUCAGGCACGAAGGCGUGGGGAUCAAACAGGAUUAGAUA